GAUGAACGCUAGCGACAGGCUUAACACAUGCAAGUCGAGGGGCAGCACGGUGUAGCAAUACAUUGGUGGCGACCGGCGCACGGGUGAGUAACGCGUAUGCAACCUACCUAUCAGAUGGGAAUAACCCGGCGAAAGUCGGACUAAUACCGCAUAAAACAGUGGUUCCACAUGGAACUAUUUGUUAACGAUUUAUUGCUGAUAGAUAGGCAUGCGUUCCAUUAGAUAGUUGGUGAGGUAACGGCUCACCAAGUCUACGAUGGAUAGGGGUUCUGAGAGGAAGGCCCCCCACACUGGUACUGAGACACGGACCAGACUCCUACGGGAGGCAGCAGUGAGGAAUAUUGGUCAAUGGGCGAGAGCCUGAACCAGCCAAGUCGCGUGAAGGAUGAAGGAUCUAUGGUUUGUAAACUUCUUUUAUAUGGGAAUAAAGUGAGGAACGUGUUCCUUUUUGUAUGUACCAUAUGAAUAAGCAUCGGCUAACUCCGUGCCAGCCGCCGCGGUAA
rnacentral:rRNA from 1 species